rnacentral:piRNA from 1 species
UGUGAGGUACUCAGAUCACAUCCUAUUUCU